GAUGAACGCUGGCGGCGUGCCUAAUACAUGCAAGUCGAGCGAACAGAUGAGGAGCUUGCUCCUCUGACGUUAGCGGCGGACGGGUGAGUAACACGUGGAUAACCUACCUAUAAGACUGGGAUAACUUCGGGAAACCGGAGCUAAUACCGGAUAAUAUAUUGAACCGCAUGGUUCAAUAGUGAAAGACGGUUUUGCUGUCACUUAUAGAUGGAUCCGCGCCGCAUUAGCUAGUUGGUAAGGUAACGGCUUACCAAGGCAACGAUGCGUAGCCGACCUGAGAGGGUGAUCGGCCACACUGGAACUGAGACACGGUCCAGACUCCUACGGGAGGCAGCAGUAGGGAAUCUUCCGCAAUGGGCGAAAGCCUGACGGAGCAACGCCGCGUGAGUGAUGAAGGUCUUCGGAUCGUAAAACUCUGUUAUUAGGGAAGAACAAAUGUGUAAGUAACUAUGCACGUCUUGACGGCACCUAAUCAGAAAGCCACGGCUAGCUACGUG
rnacentral:rRNA from 1 species